CUACGGGUGGCAGCAGUGGGGAAUAUUGCACAAUGGAGGGAACUCUGAUGCAGCAACGCCGCGUGGAGGAUGACGCAUUUCGGUGUGUAAACUCCUUUUAUAUAGGAAGAUAAUGACGGUACUAUAUGAAUAAGCACCGGCUAACUCCGUGCCAGCAGCCGCGGUAAUACGGAGGGUGCAAGCGUUACUCGGAAUCACUGGGCGUAAAGCGCAUGCAGGCGGUUAAAUAAGUUGGAAGUGAAAUCCUAUUGCUCAACCAUAGAACUGCUUCCAAAACUGUUUAACUAGAGUCUGGGAGGGGAAGAUGGAAUUAGUAGUGUAGGGGUAAAAUCCGUAGAGAUUACUAGGAAUACCAAAAGCGAAGGCGAUCUUCUGGAACAGUACUGACGCUGAGAUGCGAAAGCGUGGGGAGCAAACAGGAUUAGAUACCCCGGUAGUC
rnacentral:rRNA from 1 species